GAUGAACGCUGGCGGCGUGCCUAAUACAUGCAAGUCGAGCGAACAGAUGAGGAGCUUGCUCCUCUGACGUUAGCGGCGGACAGGUGAGUAACACGUGGAUAACCUACCUAUAAGACUGGGAUAACUUCGGGAAACCGGAGCUAAUACCGGAUAAUAUAUUGAACCGCAUGGUUCAAUAGUGAAAGACGGUUUUGCUGUCACUCAUAGAUGGAUCCGCGCCGCAUUAGCUAGUUGGUAAGGUAACGGCUUACCAAGGCAACGAUGCGUAGCCGACCUGAGAGGGUGAUCGGCCACACUGGAACUGAGACACGGUCCAGACUCCUACGGGAGGCAGCAGUAGGGAAUCUUCCGCAAUGGGCGAAAGCCUGACGGAGCAACGCCGCGUGAGUGAUGAAGGUCUUCGGAUCGUAAAACUCUGUUAUUAGGGAAGAACAAAUGUGUAAGUAACUAUGCACGUCUUGACGGUACCUAAUCAGAAAGCCACGGCUAACUACGUG
rnacentral:rRNA from 1 species